rnacentral:rRNA from 1 species
UACGUAGGGGGCAAGCGUUGUCCGGAAUCAUUGGGCGUAAAGAGCGUGUAGGCGGCCAGAUAAGUCCGCUGUGAAAUCUCGAGGCUCAACUUCGAGCUGUCGGUGGAAACUGUCUGGCUAGAGUCCGGAAGAGGAGAAUGGAAUUCCUGGUGUAGCGGUGAAAUGCGCAGAUAUCAGGAAGAACACCCGUGGCGAAGGCGGUUCUCUGGGACGGUACUGACGCUGAGGCGCGAAAGCGUGGGGAGCAAACAGG